GGGGGCGAAAAUGGUUUCGACGGGGAUCACGGAAGCAGGAUAAGCGAGCCGCAGGACCGGACUGCGUAAUAACUGGAACCUAAACAAUAACUGAGAACAAGAAUUUUGUUCCCGUCGCUGCCUAAUUAGGCAGUGACUGUCUGCCUCCGGAGGCCCACGACCGGUACGCAGGCAUCAUUAGCGUGGGGAACCAGCCCGCUUAAGCUUUGCGGCGGGUGGGAUUUAUGAAGCUACCAAAGCGCCGACCCUGUUGAUGGGGGCUCGUAGAGGGAAAUUCAAAGCAUCAACUACGCUCGUAGAAGGUCUUGUGGACGGGUUUUCGGACGGGAGUUCGACUCUCCCCGCCUCCACCA
rnacentral:tmRNA from 1 species